rnacentral:rRNA from 1 species
CGCCCGUCGCUCCUACCGAUUGGGUGUGCUGGUGAAGCGUUCGGAUUGGCGCCAGUCGGCGGUUUCCGCUUUCUGGCGCCGAGAAGUUCGUUAAACCCUCCCACCUAGAGGAAGGAGAAGUCGUAACAAGGUUUCC